rnacentral:lncRNA from 1 species
GGUGAGGGAAAGGUUUGAAAUAUUCAGGUGAGUAGGAUUCCUACAGCUGCAUAGAGAAAUUUAUAAGAUCUGGUAAGUUUCUGCAGCUGAAGGACUUCUGCAUUAACCUCUUGAAAAUGUUUGGGAAUUGUAAAAAGAAAGGGUGAUUGUCUCAGGAUGGGAAUUUGGUGGAUGAGUUCUUUUGAGGGGGGAAGGAGGGCUGCUUGUACCCUAACUUUUUGAAUGUGAUUGCAUUAAUUU